rnacentral:tRNA from 1 species
GGCCCCAUCGUCUAGCGGUUAGGACGUCACCCUUUCAAGGUGAAGAUCACGGGUUCGAUCCCCGUUGGGGUCA